ACCAGUGUGGUAUAGUGGUUUGAGCCGUGGACUGCAACUCUGGAGACCAGGGUUCAAAUUCCUGCUCGGACA